rnacentral:snRNA from 1 species
GUGCUCUCUUCAACAUUACAUAUACUAAAACUGGAACUAUACUGAGAAGCUCAUGGUCCCUGUGUAAGUAUGAUAUGCAUAUCCAUGAAGCAUUCCAUAUUUUU